GCUGACAGCUGCUGAUGCACAGGUCAUGUUGGAGGAGGCCCAGCUUGGGCAGAGCAGAGAUGGGCUUUGUUUCUCCAGUUCAGUGUUGGACAACCUGUUCUACCACAGGCUGGAGGAUGCCACACCCCUGCGUAAUUUGCACUGCAGAAUGAGGCUUUGCCGAACGGGCACCGCCAUCAUCGGAACAUCGACCUGCACUUGGCCCAUGGGCCGGCUCUGCUCAUCCCCGGCCCAGCCUGUCCGCCUCCUGCCUUCAUGCACGACCUUGGAAGCCUCACUUCUGAGACUCAGGGGUCCUCGGCCACGCUUUCCCCACAGACCUCUCCACCACCCAUCCCAUCCCAUC
ensembl:lncRNA